GUGAGGAAUUUUCCGCAAUGGGCGAAAGCCUGACGGAGCAAUGCCGCGUGAAGGAUGAAGGCCUAUGGGUUGUAAACUUCUUUUCUCAGAAAAGAAUUAUGACGGUAUCUGAGGAAUAAGCAUCGGCUAACUCUGUGCCAGCAGCCGCGGUAAGACAGAGGAUGCAAGCGUUAUCCGGAAUGAUUGGGCGUAAAGCGUCUGUAGGUUGUUUAAAAAGUAUUCUGUCAAAGAUUAGGGCUUAACCCUAGAUAGGCAGAAUAAACUUUUAAGCUAGAGUUUGGUAGAGGCAGAGGGAAUUCCCGGUGGAGCGGUGAAAUGCGUAGAUAUCGGGAGGAACACCAAAGGAGAAGGCACUCUGCUGGGCAAAUACUAACACUGAGAGACGAAAGCGAGGGGAGCAAAUGGGAUUAGAUACCCGAGUAGUCC
rnacentral:rRNA from 1 species